GAAGUCGACUACUUCCUUACGCAAGACGACUCGGUGCGCCACGUUCGUUCACUGCGUUGGUCGCGUUCAACGGUGCGUGCACAUGAGAGACGCGAGAGAUGCUAUCGGCCACCAAGACGGCUCUGGACUUCUUCGGACCACCCACCGGCAAAAUAAUAAACACGGAAUGCGGCAUACACGUCCGUCCGUCCGUCCGUCCUUUCGUUUGUUUCUAUUUCGCAGAUACCAUCGAAAAUAAGGUCUCCCGUCGAUACCGCAGCUGGCUAUCACCGAUACCACCUUCCACGAGUCGCUAUCGCGCUCGAACAGCCGCACGAAUUCGAUUCGGAGUGCCAUUAACUUAAACUUCGAGUCUACCCGACGACGCUCGAUCAUCGAGGAUUAGAUCGAGCUGAACGCCGAAUGCAGCCAAUUCCGCUGUAACACCGUUAACGCCGCGUCGCUCAUACGUGGAAAGCAGAGCUUCUUGCUGAGGAACUGCGCGAAUAAAUAAUGAACGUUGGCGGUGACAAAGACACGAGCCAAAGAAGAAACGCGAGCAACAGGAGUAACGUCGAAUUUUGGCCGAGAGAAAUACUUCUCCUUAGUUGCAUCCAAACAGACGGGACAGUAAGAAUGAUCAGGAGGGAGUGUUCCAGCCGUUCCAGGUUCGUCGUGCACCACCCGCCGCCCUGGUCCCGGUGGUUAGACCUCUCGACGCUCGAAAUCCAGAAAGUCGGUAAAUUUUCAUGCGCGCUACCUGUUCGACCAGAGUGUAUCCGCUCGUACGCUAUGUUUGCGUAGGACGAGGACCACCCACGUAGUCUGACGCCUCUGCUGUAUCCUCGUCGUGGAAUUGACUUAGCGGAAUCCGGGGCUAGGGAGGGUAGCAGGACGAAAAGGAGAGAGACGGAGCAUGUACGAGGGAAGCAGAUAGGAUGCGAUUGUGUGCAAGCAACGAAGCCUUUAACCUGACCUGGGCCAGCACGUUAUUUUUCAUCUCAUUGUCCGUCGACAGGAGCACGACUCCCCACGCAGGCCGUUCGAGAGAAAGGCUUCCUGGUAGAUUUGCUGCACUUUGCUCGAUUCUAGAAAUUCAGUUGCUCUGGAUUGGCGGUGGAGCGGACUGAUAAGGAGGACUCCAGAAUGUCGAGAAAAUUUAUACGUAGGUUGGCAGGCCGGACUUCUAAAGGCUUAAAGAUCCUCUUGGAGGGGCACCGACAGCAAUUGCGAAUCUACCAGCGAAUCUAGAGGGUUACCGCAGCAGAGAUAGAGCCGCAACAGAGGACACGCAAUUUCUACCUGUGCUACGGGUCCUGUAGCGAUUUACGUCCUCGUUAAAGAACGCUUACGUCGUCAUCGGCACCGACCGGCCCCCCGGCUGUAGAAUAAGAACAACGACGAGCAAAAAGAAAGGAAACCCCGAUGGAAAAGUGUAAAAGACGAUUAAAAGGACGGGUUCUGGAUAGGUCUUUUUAUGCAGGAGAUGGGGAAAUUUAUUUCGGAGAUGAGUCUGGACAGGAUUCGUGCAUUUUUAUGAGGGCUCAAGAGGAGAAACUAUGACGAGUUCCAAGGUAAGGAGUUCUUUGGUUGAAAAUAAAAUGGUAGACUUGUAUUUCCCUGAUACUUUAUCGACUAUUAAUAUAUUUUCUAGGUCACCCGUGGCGGACAGC